GAGGGUAUAGCUCAGUGGUAGAGUGUGUGCCUAGCUUGCACGAGAUCCUGGGUUCAGUCCCCAGCAACUCCA
rfam:Camelus ferus unplaced genomic scaffold scaffold968, whole genome shotgun sequence.